GGCCUCCGUAGGUGAACCUGCGGAGGGAUCAUUACCGAGUUUACAACUCCCAAACCCCUGUGAACAUACCUAUACGUUGCCUCGGCGGAUCAGCCCGCGCCCCGUAAAAAGGGACGGCCCGCCCGAGGACCCCUAAACUCUGUUUUUAGUGGAACUUCUGAGUAAAACAAACAAAUAAAUCAAAACUUUCAACAACGGAUCUCUUGGUUCUGGCAUCGAUGAAGAACGCAGCAAAAUGCGAUAAGUAAUGUGAAUUGCAGAAUUCAGUGAAUCAUCGAAUCUUUGAACGCACAUUGCGCCCGCCAGUAUUCUGGCGGGCAUGCCUGUUCGAGCGUCAUUUCAACCCUCAAGCUCAGCUUGGUGUUGGGACUCGCGGUAACCCGCGUUCCCCAAAUCGAUUGGCGGUCACGUCGAGCUUCCAUAGCGUAGUAAUCAUACACCUCGUUACUGGUAAUCGUCGCGGCCACGCCGUAAAACCCCAACUUCUGAAUGUUGACCUCGGAUCAGGUAGGAAUACCCGCUGAACUUAAGCAUAUCAAUAAGCGGAGGAA
rnacentral:rRNA from 1 species